UCGGACUGGCCACCAAAGUGUAACCAGGGGUCCUUGCUACACUCGCCUGUCACAACAUGACUGUUAAAGUCUGUCGGCGUUGAGAGCAAUUAGUAACUUCUAAACUAAGAUACGUUUAAUUCCCGAUUAUAAAAUUUUAUAAAUUAACUUUUAUAAAUUAUUUUAUUGUUUCCCCUUGGCACGUGCGAAAUGGGCCCCGAGGUGUGUCCAUUCUGUGGGAAUUCCUACAAGAGGUUAAAGAGCCACCUGCCCCAUUGCAAGGCAGCCAAGCCCCCUUUGAGUCAACGUGGGCCUGCUGCGUCUACGCCAUCCGGUCAGCUAGAAGCAGACUCGUCUAAAACGAAGGAGAGGAAGACGCUGCCGCUCAAUAAGAUGUCUCCAGAGGUGUCUGGGAAGAGUGGAAAUACUUCACCUCUGUCUACGUCUAAACCCAAAAAGAAGGGCAUCCGCGCCUCAAUAGAGGCAGCAAAGUCCAGCCAGAUUCCAACAGGAUUGAAUACAGUACCAGAAAGUCUGGCCACAAGCGCACAGUCCAAAUCCAAAACCUUGUUACCCACGGAGUCCCCAAAACCCAAAAAUGCCUAUAAAAAGAAACAAAUCAAAUCCACAGAAAAAGAAACAGUGGCCAUAGGGAAGGAGAGACCCAGGAUUACGCUCCAGCACGUUGGAAGCACAUUAGGCUGGGCCAAGACCAGCAGGCUUGCCAUCCAGAUUAAAACCACACAAAAAACCACUAAACCUAGUCCAGAUUUAAGUCCAGCUAGUACGAGCGUCAUUUUACAACCAAAAGAGUCACCAUUUCUGCUUAAAGAUGAUUCCUGUGGGUAUAAAGCGACCUCCCAUAAGCCUCUGCCUGUGUCCGACCUCCAAACAUCCAAAGGGGGUCUGCACCGGACAGAACUCUCCUCUAUGUCGCCGGGACGUUUUUUCGACCUCCAGUCCAGGGGCGGAGACGCAUUCACGUCAAUGGAAAUGCGGAAAGACAACUCCUCAGGGCGGACCCUGGGUCAGGUGACGUUACGGGAGCUUCCUGAGUGGCUGGCCUGCAGGACGCCGCGUCGCCCAGGAGACGCAGUGGAAAUGAUGCACAGAAGCUGGCAGUGGUACUACAGGAAGUAUAUCGACGUGAGGAAAGGCGGUGUGGGGGGCCUUGGCAUGCUGCUGGCCGGAUACUGUGUGCUUAGCUACGUCUGGUCUUACCCUCAUCUUAAGCAUGAACGCUGGAGGAAGUACCAUUAAGAUCAGAGGAUGCUGUUAACGGCCGCCUCCAGAGCUGAGUCCGGGUCCAGCUGCGGGGGCGACGCUGUCUGGUGGUGAAGCUUGGAGUCUGUCGCCACCGCCUCGUCCUCCUGGGUCGCCAAAGCCAGGCUGCGAUUUUGUCCUGUACGCCGGCUUCUCCGUGUCUGUGGUGGGCGGCGGCGGCGGUGGUGGAGAGGGGAUG